rnacentral:rRNA from 1 species
CCUACGGGUGGCAGCAGUGAGGAAUAUUGGUCAAUGGGCUUACGCCUGAACCAGCCAAGUCGCGUGAGGGAAGACUGCCCUAUGGGUUGUAAACCUCUUUUGUGCGGGAGCAAUACUGGUCACGUGUGGCCAGACGAGAGUACCGUACGAAUAAGCAUCGGCUAACUCCGUGCCAGCAGCCGCGGUAAUACGGGGGAUGCAAGCGUUAUCCGGAUUUAUUGGGUUUAAAGGGUGCGUAGGCUGUGAGGUAAGUCAGCGGUGAAAUGCCCCCGCUCAACGGGGUGAAGUGCCAUUGAUACUGCCUUGCGGGAAUGCGGAUGCCGUGGGAGGAAUGUGUGGUGUAGCGGUGAAAUGCAUAGAUAUCACACAGAACACCGAUUGCGAAGGCAUCUCACGAAGCCGCGAUUGACGCUGAUGCACGAAAGCGUGGGUAUCGAACAGGAUUAGAUACCCUUGUAGUC